GAGACAACUGCACCUGCGGAAAGAGGUUGAGCGUGGUGGGCCGCUUGGGCCGAUGGAAUUUCACUCUUGUUGCCCAAGCUGGAGUGCAAUGGCACGAUCUUGGCUCACCACAACCUCCACCUCCCAGGUUCAAGCGAUUCUCCUGCCUCAGCCUUCCGAGUAGCUGGGAUUACAGUUUUGGCUUCGUGAUCACGUAAACCAAGAGUCACAAACUGAAAUGCCAUCAAGGGGCCAAGCAGAUGGAGUCUUGCUCUGUUGCUCUGUUGCCAGGCUGGAGUGCAGUGGCAUGAUCUCAGCUCACUGCAACCUCCACCUCCUGGGUUCAAGCCAUUCUCCUGCCUCAGCCUCUGGAGUAGCUGGGACUACAGGUGCGCGCCACCACGCCCAACUAAUUUUUUUUUUUUUUUUUGAGACCGAGUUUUGCUCUUGUUGCCCAGGCUGGAGUGCAAUGGCACGAUCUUGGCUCACCGCAACCUCUGCCUCCUGCGUUCAAGCGAUUCUCCUGCCUCAGCUCCCAAGUAGCUGAGAUUACAGGCAUGCGCCACCAUGCCCUGCUAAUUUUUUUGUAUUUUUAGUAGAGACGGGGUUUCUGCAUGUUGAUCAGGCUGGCCUCGAACUCCCGACCACAGGUGAUCCACCCACCUUGGCCUCCCAAAGUGCUGGGAUUACAGGCAUGAGCAACCAUGCCCGGCCCAGUUUUUAUUUUUUUAAUAGAGACAGUGUUUCACCAUGUUGGCCUUAGAGGAAAACAUAGACAUACAUCUUUAUGACCUUUGGAUUAGCAAGUUUUCUUAGAUAUGACACAAGUGUUUAACACAGAGCUCCCAUAUGACCCAGUAAUUCCAUUCCGAGGUAUAUAUGCCAAGAGAAAUGAAAACAGAAAAACUUAAAACACACACACAUAUGGCGAAACCCUAUCUCUACUAAAAAUACAAAAAUUUUGCUGGUGUGGUGGCUCAUGCAUGUAAUCCCAGCACUUUGGCGGGCUGAAGAAGGUGGAUCAUUUGAGGUCAGGAGUUUGAGAUCAGCCUGGACAACAUGGUGAAACCCCAUCUCUACUAAAAAUACAAAAAUUAGCUGGGUGUGGUGGCACACGCUUGUAAUCCCAGCUACUUGGGAGGCUGAGGCAGGAGAAUCUCUUGAACCCAGGAGGUGGAGCUUGCAGUGAGCCGAGAUCACACCACUGCACUCCGUCCUGGGCAACAGAGACUCUAUCUCAAAAAAAAAAAAAAAAAAAAAAAAAAGAAACAAAGAAAGAAAAAUUAGCCGGGCAUGGUGACAGGUGCCUGUAAUCCCAGCUACUUGGGAGAUUGAGGUGGGAGGAUCAGUUGAACCUGGGAAGCAGAGGUUGCAGCCAGCUGGGAUUGUGCCACUGCACUCCAGCCUGGGCAACAGAGUGAGACUCCGUCUCAAAAAAUAAAAAUAAAAAUAAUACACACACACAUAUACACAUACACCUCUUUAUUUCUUCAGCGAGACCUGAAGAUAUAUAUCCAUAACAUAAGAACAGGAUGCUAUAAAAAAUGAACAAUAAGAAAGCAAGAAAAACUAUCAUAAAUUAGAAAUAUGAUAGCCAAGGCUGGGUGCAGUGGCUCACACCUGUAAUCUCAGCACCUUGGGAGGCUGAGGCAUGUGGAUCACUUGAGGCCAGGAGUUUGAGACCAACCUGGCCAAUAUGGUGAAACCCCGUCUCUACUGAAAAUACAAAAAUAAGCUGGGCAUGCUGGACCACGCCUGCAAUCCCAGCUACUCAGGAGGCUGAGGCAGGAGAAUCACUUGAACCCAGGAGGCAGAGGUUGCAGUGAGCUGAGAUCAAGCCACCGCAUUCCAACCUGGGUGACAGAGUGAGAACCUGUCUCAAAAAAAAAAUAAAUAAAUAAAAGCCAAAAUUAAAAAUUCAAUACAAAAUUUGAAGGUUGAAGAAAUCUCCUAGAAUGUAGUAUUUAAAUUCUUUUUCUUUUGAGACAAGGUCUUGCUCUGUCUCCCAAGCUGCUGUGCCGUGGCGCCAUUCUAGCUUACUGCAAGCCUCAAACUCCUGGCCUCAAGCAAGUCUCAUAUCUCAACCUCUCAAAGUGCUGGAUUAUAGGCAUGAGCCACUGCAGCUGGCCAGAAUGUAGAAUUUAAAAGGUGUUGAAAAAUAUAAAAAAUAAGAAAAUUGGAGGAUUGAGGCUGGUUGAAGGCAGAGGCAGGAGAAUAGCUUGAGCCCAGGAGCUUGAGUAUAGCCUGGGAAACACAGAAAGCCCAUCUCUAUAUUUAAAAAAAAAAUUCUUUUUUUUUUUUUUUUUAAGAGAGAGUCUUGCUCUGUCACCCAGGCUGGAGUGCAGUGGUGCGAUCUUGGCUCACUGCAACCUCCACCUUCCGGGCUCAAGCAAUUCUUAUGCCUCAGCCUCCCAUGUAGCUGAGAUUAUAGGUGUGUGCCACCACACCCGGCUAAUUUUUGUAUUUUUAGUAGAGACAGGGUGGGAGAGUGUUGGGGGAGAUGGGGCAUGGCAGGGAGGGGAUGGCGGGUUUUACCAUGUUGGCCAGGCUGGUCUUGAGCUCCUGGCUUCAGGUGAUCCUCCCACCUCAGCCUCUAAAAGUGGGAUUACAGACGUAAACCACCGCGCCCAGCAUUUUUUUUUUUUUUUUUAGACAGUGUUGCUGUGUUGCCCAGGCUGGAGUGCAGUAGCACAAUCUCGGCUCACUGCAACGUCUGCCUCCUGGGCUCCAGCGAUUGUCGUGCCUCAGCCUCCCAAGUAGCUGGGAUUACAGGUGCACACCAUCAUGCCUGGCUAACUGUAUUUUUAGUAGAGAUGGGGUUUCACCAUGUUGGCCAGGCUGCUCUCAAACUCCUGGCCUCAAGCAAUCCACCUGCCUCAGCCUCCCACAGUGCUGGGAUUACAGGCCUGAGCCACUGCACCAAGCCCCAGCUCCAGAUUGUGAGUUUCAGAGCCAGGCUAGAUAGGAUUCAGACUCAGAACUGUGAGAUUUCUGCCGCUCAGGCUGUUAACCAGUGACUCAUGGUUUUUUUUUUUUUUUAGGCAGAGUUUUACUCUUGUUGCCCAGGCUGGAGUGCGAUGGCUCGAUCCCAGCUCAUUGCAACCUCCGCCUCCCAGGUUCAAGUGAUUCUCCUGCCUCAGCCUCCCAAGUAGCUGGGAUUACAGGUGCCCGCCACCAUGCCCAGCUAAUUUUUGAAUUUUUAGUAGAGACGGGGUUUCACCAUGUUGGCCAGGCUGGUCUUGAGCUCCUGACUUCGUGAUCUGCCCACCUCGGCCUCCCAAAGUGCUGGAAUUACAAGCGUGAGCCACCGCGCCCUGCCUGACUUGUGGUCUUUUGAGAUUAUUUCUGAUGUCCCAUAGACAUUUCAAAAGCAAAAUGUCAAAAGCUACACUUGCCUCUCAAACCUUCAUUCUCUCUGUGUGAUAGGCACCCUCCUUCCCAUCUUCCUUCGCUUCCAUGGGUCACUCAAAGCUGAAGACCUGCAAGCCAUCUCAGGAUCCUGUCCUGUAUCCCAUCAACACUCAUCACACCCUCUCAAUUCUGGCUCCUAAAUACCCCUUGGAUUUGGCCUCUCUUCCCCGUUCCCCACUGGCAUUGUUUUAUUUCAGGUCUUUAUGAUUUCUUGCCUGGGUUUCUGCAGCAGCCUCCUAACUGCUCUCCCUGACUCCAGUCUUGCCCUCUCUGUUUCAUUUUUCAUAUUGCACACAGGGUGAUUUUUCUAAAAUAUAAAUGUGACCACAUCUCUUGCAGGCUUAAAACCUCUCAAAGGUUCUUCACCCCCUCAAGGCUGCAGCACACACCUCCCAGCACAGCUCUGCAAGUUGACCCCGCCCUUCUUCUCCAUCGGUGGUUCUCAGAGUGUAGCCCUCCGAGCAGCAGCACUCUGACCCGCUCCAUCAAGAUCUCUAGGCUUGGAGCUUGCGAGACUAUGUAAACAAGGCCAGUUUUUUGUUCGUUUGUUUGUUUUUUGGAGACAGAGUCUCGCUGUGUCACUCAGGCUGGAGUGCAGUGGCUUGAUCUUGGCUUACUCCAUCUCCACCUCCCAGGUUGAAGUGAUUCUCCCGCCUCAACCUCCUGAGCAGCUGGGACUAUAGGUGUGCACCACCACACCCAGCUAAUUUUUGCAUUUUUAGUAGAAAUGGGGUUUCAGGCCGGGCGCGGUGGCUCACGCCUGUAAUCCCAGCACUUUGGGAGGCCAAGGCGGACGGAUCACGAGGUCAGGAGAUCGAG
rnacentral:lncRNA from 1 species